rnacentral:rRNA from 1 species
AUUGAACGCUGGCGGCAUGCUUUACACAUGCAAGUCGAACGGUAACAGGCCGCAAGGUGCUGACGAGUGGCGAACGGGGGGGUAAUGCAUCGGAACGUGCCCAGUCGUGGGGGAUAACUACUCGAAAGAGUAGCUAAUACCGCAUACGAUCUAUGGAUGAAAGCGGGGGACCGUAAGGCCUCGCGCGAUUGGAGCGGCCGAUGUCAGAUUAGGUAGUUGGUGGGGUAAAGGCUCACCAAGCCAACGAUCUGUAGCUGGUCUGAGAGGACGACCAGCCACACUGGGACUGAGACACGGCCCAGACUCCUACGGGAGGCAGCAGUGGGGAAUUUUGGACAAUGGGCGCAAGCCUGAUCCAGCAAUGCCGCGUGCAGGAAGAAGGCCUUCGGGUUGUAAACUGCUUUUGUACGGAACGAAACGGCUCUGGUUAAUACCCGGGGCUAAUGACGGUACCGUAAGAAUAAGCACCGGCUAACUACGUG